UACGGGGGGGGGCAAGCGUUGUUCGGAAUUACUGGGCGUAAAGGGCUCGUAGGCGGCCAACUAAGUCAUACGUGAAAUCCCUCGGCUUAACCGGGGAACUGCGUCUGAUACUGGAUGGCUUGAGAUUGGGAGAGGGAUGCGGAAUUCCAGGUGUAGCGGUGAAAUGCGUAGAUAUCUGGAGGAACACCGGUGGCGAAGGCGGCAUCCUGGACCAACACUGACGCUGAGGAGCGAAAGCCAGGGGGAGCAAAGCGGG
rnacentral:rRNA from 1 species